rnacentral:rRNA from 1 species
UACGGAGGGUGCGAGCGUUGUCCGGAAUCAUUGGGCGUAAAGGGCGCGUAGGUGGCCCGGUCAGUCUUUGGUGAAAGCGCGGGGCUCAACCCUGCGUCGGCCAGGGAUACUGCCGCGGCUCGAGCACUGUAGAGGCAGGCGGAAUUCCGGGUGUAGCGGUGGAAUGCGUAGAGAUCCGGAAGAACACCGGUGGCGAAGGCGGCCUGCUGGGCCGAAAUUGACGCUGAGGAGCGAAAGCGUGGGGAGCAAACAGG